GGCAUGUUUCGGCGGCUCUCAGUUCAAUACCUCGACGAGGUCCACCUGCAGACUCGUGUACUUAAGUUUACAGGGUUCGCUGUAAAUUAGGAUCUCGACUGGUUGUUCCAGCAGGUAUUCCAGUUCCACCAUUUCUCACCGACAGGCUCCAUCAAAUAUGCGGAAUAAUUUGAUACAUCAAACGAAUCCUUCAGCACCAUUCAAUCAGUUCCUUCCGAGACAGUACCGGGAAGGCACUGGAAGUCUACAGCGAGGGUCAUCCCUUCCCCACUUCGAACAGCGCAGGAGCAAAAGCAUUGAGAAUGUACACAGUGAAGCCAACCAGGUGGCAGCUUCAAUGAGGGAUGUCCGGUGGCAGCAGGAUCUUGAUAAAUGGAAGGAGAAACGGUGUGGUGCAAACGCAGACCUUCUUCAGCGGAAGAGCCUACGGGAAAAUCUGAUCUGGGAACAAGGUGCUGGCUUACACAAUGGACAUUCUAGAAACUUUUUGGGAACUCAACUGGAGAAUGGAGGAUCAUCACGUAAACCAGAAUUUGGAAAAGCGAGAGCAUACGGUAGUCUUGACAGACACAGCAGACUUGCUGAUUAUCCAACCUCGACUGAAUCUUAUCGAACCUUACUAAAUAGACAAACUCCAAGUUCUACUUACCACAAUGUGACUACUGUGGAUGCUCCUGUUGCCUCUCGACUCUCGAAUCCAAAUGAAAGUUCUCAGGCUCGAGUGCAAAUGGUGAGAGAGUCACCGGCCUCGUCCUAUUCCUCGACAAAGCCAUUGGACAAGCUUCCUGUGCCUAGAAAUGAGCCAAUCGCUGAAGAUUCGGAUGAAGCUUCAUAUAGAGGAUAUUUGAAAGGGGAAAGGUCAAGCACAGAAAGCCGAAUAGAUGUGGAACCUUCUUCAAAAGUCCAUGUACCGCGUGUGCUGACGCCUUCUCAAGCAUUUGAGGGCGUAGCGAGAGUCGACCCCAUUGACGAUUCAGAAUCGACUGCGAAGACCGUUCGUUCAUCGGUGAUGUUGACAUUAAGUCGGCAGCAGCACACAGAGCCAAAGGCUGUUCAUAACACCAGGGUCCAGUCCCUGCAGUCAAUUGGGAAACAAGAAUUGAAGACUGCACCUAAUUUUGCCUUAAAGACUCAACAGUCAGCAUGGCAGAUAAAAUCGACACCGAAAGUAAUUCCUAAUGAAGUGACAUCGCAUGAUGCAAGUACCUGGGCUGGGUCGAUGGAGGAUGGGGAAUGGGAG
rnacentral:lncRNA from 1 species